AUCCAUGCUAAAGUACAGUAUUAACUAUUUACGACACCUGUAGAUGUUUUGAAGAUUGUUAGCAGUACGAAAUAUUUUUAACACUUGAACAAAAUAUGGCAUCCACCUGAUUUUGUACUAUAGGGGGUAUCAAACGUUUCCAACGCUUGCCUUCGAAACAUCCAAAACAUAUGUACAUUGAAACAUCAAUUGAAACAUAAACAAUAAAUGCUAAGCACAUGUUUGAACUCAAUUGAAACAUUACAAUUGUAUUAAAUUUCUUUCCUGACAUACCAUCACCAUAAUAACUGUAGGUAAACAAAUCAAAGAAAGAAAGAAAAUUUUAACUACUUUUGUAUGAGAAUGGUAGGUCGCUACAGUCAAUAUCUGCACAAAAAUAAUCAAACAUGAAGUUUAAUUCAUUUUACAAUAAAUUCAAUUAAAGAAUUAUCGUUGUCAUGAAAAAGAAAAAAAAAUAAUAUUACGUCUCGAGUUACACAUACGCACUAAGACAUAGGGGUGCAAGAAAGAUGCAACUUUGCGGGAAAAGUGCAGAGCAAGAAAAAAAAGUAAUAUUACGUCUCGAGUUACACAUACGCACUAAGACAUAGGGGUGCAAGAAAGAUGCAACUUUGCGGGAAAAGUGCAGAGCAAGAAAAAAAAGUAAUAUUACGUCUCGAGUUACACAUACGCACUAAGACAUAGGGGUGCAAGAAAGAUGCAACUGUGCGGGAAAAGUGCAGAGCAAGAAAAAAAAGUAAUAUUACGUCUCGAGUUACACAUACGCACUAAGACAUAGGGGUGCAAGAAAGAUGCAACUUUGCGGGAAAAGUGCAGAGCAAGAAAAAAAAGUAAUAUUACGUCUCGAGUUACACAUACGCACUAAGACAUAGGGGUGCAAGAAAGAUGCAACUUUGCGGGAAAAGUGCAGAGCAAGAAAAAAAAGUAAUAUUACGUCUCGAGUUACACAUACGCACUAAGACAUAGGGGUGCAAGAAAGAUGCAACUUUGCGGGAAAAGUGCAGAGCAAGAAAAAAAAGUAAUAUUACGUCUCGAGUUACACAUACGCACUAAGACAUAGGGGUGCAAGAAAGAUGCAACUGUGCGGGAAAAGUGCAGAGCAAGAAAAAAAAGUAAUAUUACGUCUCGAGUUACACAUACGCACUAAGACAUAGGGGUGCAAGAAAGAUGCAACUUUGCGGGAAAAGUGCAGAGCAAGAAAAAAAAGUAAUAUUACGUCUCGAGUUACACAUACGCACUAAGACAUAGGGGUGCAAGAAAGAUGCAACUUUGCGGGAAAAGUGCAGAGCAAGAAAAAAAAGUAAUAUUACGUCUCGAGUUACACAUACGCACUAAGACAUAGGGGUGCAAGAAAGAUGCAACUUUGCGGGAAAAGUGCAGAGCAAG